GGACACAGGCGGUGUCAGUGGCACCUUCCCCUUAACCACGUCUCCACCAGGCACCCCACGGUGCCUUACAGUUACUCGGUGGACGCCGAGAUUGCUUGCAUGUACCUGGGUCCAGUAGUUCGGUCCCUUCCAGAAGGAGUUUACAGCGAAAUCACCAUAGAUGGCAAACACCUGAAUAUUCUGUUAAUUGCAGAAAAUUCCCACCUUCUGGACAUUUCUGUCGCUGCCUUGCUGCACCAGCUCUCCACAGUGUUUCCGGUCUAUGAGGAUUUCCAGGCUUAGAUUCUGGACAAACUUCAGCUAGAAAAGAGGAUUUGGUUUUCUUCCUCUAUCCUCCAUCCCUAGGUAGUCC
rnacentral:lncRNA from 1 species